UCUGGGCAUGGCAGUACCUACUUGUAAUCUCUGCUACCAGGGAGAUUGAAGUUGAUGAAUUAUUUGGGUUUGGACUUUCUGUGCUUUAGUAUGCUAAGCUGAUUGGGUGUCUUUACUAAAUCUGGCAAUAUGGUGAGCCCCUGAGAGCAAGGGGCCAAUGGACCGCCUGAGGAGGGGCAAAAUGGCCCAGGUCAGAAUUGGAGCAGGUCAAAGCUUCUGUGCUGAUUAGAUGUGGGAUUGGGUCUGUGAGUGGCUACUACACUUCCAGACUAGCCAAGGUAGGGAGAUGGAGUCUCAG
ensembl:misc_RNA Metazoa_SRP Metazoan signal recognition particle RNA